ACGAGUUGUUUGCUUGUUAAGAACAUCCGUAUGGGCUGUGUAUGUAUAGUGAGAGAGAACGCAUCGGGAAAUACUUGCACAAUCAUGAAGUGUUUCUUUGCUCUAACAGCUAUAUUGCUACUAGUGACACUGGCUGGCAGUCAGCUGAUCACGCCGACGAUGAUGUGUUAAAUGAAGUGUAUUAAGGAGAAGACGGGGGAAAGCUCAGCCCCGUGGGACAGUCCUGCAGCCCAGGACUGCAAGAAAGAAUGUAUUAAGAAAUUACUGGACAUGAUCCCACCUGAGCUUCGAGGAGAUAUCAAAGCAAUUUAUGGACAAGAAGAAGCCAACCAUAAAUGAUCUGCAUAACGCGUGAUGUAAGGCUAAUUAAAAA